UUCCCCUAGUAACGGCGAGUGAAGCGGGAACAGCUCAAAUUUGAAACCUGGCGUCCUUCGGUCGUCCGGAUUGUAUUCUAGAGAAGCGUCUUCCACGCUGGUCCGCGUAUAAGUGCCCUGGAACGGGCUGUCAUAGAGGGUGAGAAUCCCGUCCUUGACGUGGGCUACCGGUGUUUUUGUGAUGCGCUUUCUAAGAGUCGAGUUGUUUGGGAAUGCAGCUCAAAGUGGGUGGUAAAUUCCAUCUAAAGCUAAAUAUUGGCCUGAGACCGAUAGCGAACAAGUACCGUGAGGGAAAGAUGAAAAGCACUUUGAAAAGAGAGUCAAACAGUACGUGAAAUUGCUGAAAGGGAAACGCUUGAAGUCAGUCGCGCCCCCUGGGAUUCAGCCCUGCUUUUGUAGGGUGUACUUUCCAGGAGGUGGGCCAACAUCAGUUUUGGCCGGCAGAUAAAGGCUGGGGGAAUGUGGCUCCUCUCGCAGGGGAGUGUUAUAGCCCCCGGUGGCGUGUGUUUGCGCGCCAUGUGUCGGUUGGGACUGAGGAACGCAGCGCUCCGCGCUUAGGAUGUUGGCAUAAUGGCUUUAAGCGACCCGUCUUGAAACACGGACCAAGGAGUCUAACAUAUCUGCGAGUAUUUGGGUGACAAACCCGAGUGCGCAAUGAAAGUGAAUGCAGGUGGGAAGCGGAAACGCUGCACCAUCGACCGGUCUGGAUUUUUAAUGAUGGAUCUGAGUAAGAGCAUAUAUGUUGGGACCCGAAAGAUGGUGAACUAUGCCUGAAUAGGGCGAAGCCAGAGGAAACUCUGGUGGAGGCUCGUAGCGAUUCUGACGUGCAAAUCGAUCGUCAAAUUUGGGUAUAGGGGCGAAAGACU
rnacentral:rRNA from 1 species